GAAUGUGAGGGUGGUCUGGAUGCAUCAUCAGUCUAGCCCACUGAUUCCCAGGGUUGAUUCAACUGAUCUGGCUGGCUAGACGGGGCCCACCACUCUCCAUACCAUCCCAUUGCGUCCCUCUGGAAUGUGCAUACUGGGUUGAAGAGGAAGACUUUCUCUAAUAGAGAAGGAUUUUUUGGUGAGUAAAGGUACAUGAGAGACUGAAUUAAACUAUGAGAACAUCCAAAGGUGUCAUCUUAAUGGUUUUAAGUACCAUUAGCAUGUGAGUUUGGAGAUUCAGGUUCUCACGUAAA
rnacentral:snRNA from 1 species